GACGAACGCUGGCGGCGUGCUUAACACAUGCAAGUCGAACGGUAAGGCCCUUCGGGGUACACGAGUGGCGAACGGGUGAGUAACACGUGGGUGAUCUGCCCUGCACUUCGGGAUAAGCCUGGGAAACUGGGUCUAAUACCGGAUAGGACCACUGCCUGCAUGGGUGGUGGUGGAAAGCUUUUGCGGUGUGGGAUGGGCCCGCGGCCUAUCAGCUUGUUGGUGGGGUGAUGGCCUACCAAGGCGACGACGGGUAGCCGGCCUGAGAGGGUGACCGGCCAGACUGGGACUGAGCGUCGGCCCAGACUCCUACGGGAGGCAGCGGUGGGGAAUAUUGAACAAUGGGCGCAAGCCUGAUGCAGCGACGCCGCGUGAGGGAUGACGGGCUUCGGGUUGUAAACCUCUUUCAGCACCGACGAAGCGCAAGUGACGGUAGGUGCAGAAGAAGGACCGGCCAACUACGUGCCAGCCGCCGCCGUAA
rnacentral:rRNA from 1 species